rnacentral:rRNA from 1 species
UGAGGGAAUAUUUGGGGGGCAAUGGGCGAAAGCCUGACCCAGCAACGCCGCGUGAAGGAAGACGGUUUUCGGAUUGUAAACUUCUUUUAAGAGGGACGAUAAUGACGGUACCUCUUGAAUAAGCCACGGCUAACUACGUGCCAGCAGCCGCGGUAAUACGUAGGUGGCAAGCGUUGUCCGGAUUUACUGGGUGUAAAGGGCGAGUAGGCGGACCUGCAAGUCAGAUGUGAAAUCCCCGGGCUUAACCCGGGAACUGCAUUUGAAACUGUAGGCCUUGAGUGAUGGAGAGGCAGGCGGAAUUCCCGGUGUAGCGGUGGAAUGCGUAGAUAUCGGGAGGAACACCAGUGGCGAAG